AAUGCCUCUCAAAGAAAGGGUUACAGAAGUGUAAAAUAUCUAUAACCAUGAUUGUGUAUUCUACGAUAGGUACAUGUAUGUUUGCAAAAUGCAAACACAUGGCUUUGAAAUCCAGUGGGAAUGCUCAUUUGAGAUCAUUUAGGUUUAUAAUACCAAAGCAGUUAAAGCACUGGGUCGUCACACAGAAGACACACCGUCAAUUCCCUGUGUGAAUUCAACGUGUGGAGCCCAUUUCUGCUUCCCCUCGCUGUGAUAUUCGCUGGAAUAUUGCUGAAGGCGCAGUAAAACUAUACUCACUCACUACAAAGGUUUAUCUUGAUAAAGGUUACAUUGGCAUCAAAAUUCGCUUACCACCAGUAUAUGAUUGUGGUUCUUGCAGGCACAUUCCUCACUGGCAUAUCUCUUGAAAGCAGACUUUUCCAGGUUGUCAGAUGCGAGCCUAAACAUUAUCAACAUCUUUAUAACACGACUCACAACCACCAAGAUUGGCUAUACCGUAUACAACCUGUUCACCAUCGACAGCUCGACCAUGCUGAUGCUGUCCGGGACUUUGCUGACCUAUGUGCUGGUGGUUUUACAAUUCAAAUAAAGGGCCUUUCUCCUUGGAUGUCAACUGUUUUUAUCUUCACAUGUUUAACAUCAGAAAUAAAUGUAAGUUUAUAUUCACCUUUGAUCUGCUAUUGCAUUGUAUACAGUAGAACUUUGCCCUAUGCAUCUAACUGCCCUAUAAUAGGCACCUGCGUUUCAAUAAACAUUACUUCUGGUU